CAUUUUAUUUUACUUUUAGGGAUGCACCGAUACCACUUUUUUCUGACCGAGUACAAGUACUUACGUUUGGGUACUCACCGAUAC